GUCUCCUCGAUGAUGCGGUUGUUCACCUCCAGCAGGAUCAUGGCGGCGGCUGCCCCGAGCAGGGGAAGGAGAAACAAGGACCUGGCCCCAGAAGCCUCAACCCGCCUGCCGAGCCGCCGCCGCCGCUGCUGCCGCCUCACCGAGAAGCCCGGUCCCCGCCCAGCCCCCGGCUCUAGCCGGCCACUUCCGCUCUCACACCCACUUCCGCUCGCCGCCGGGACGCGCGGCCCUGCGGCACCAUUUCCGCUCCGACCCCUCGUGCACGCGCGCGCCGGGGCGCCGGGAGGGGGUUAGGAGGAGACUGAUCGUGCGCAUGCGUGAUACCAUCGUCCCGCCCCUACUUUCCCACAGACGUCUCCUCACAUCCACCCCCUACCACCCACCGAGCUGUCAUUCCCCAGUGCUUGUCUCACUGCCCGUCUUCCUCACGCUUUUUCCUGGAGGUCCAAUUCCACCCUUCUGGUCUUCUCAUUUCAGAGACCCCCGCAAGAAGCUCGCCCUUGUCAUCUCCCAGCGGGACUCUUUGCUCUCAGCUUGUGGGUGCCCCUUUUUCAUUCCAGGUUAAUGGCUCCUCACGCAUGCAUUUCUCCAACAAGUAAAUACUUAGUGGGCUCCUGGUCUGCGCUGGGGAUACAGCGCGGUAAAUGAAACAGACGAGGUCCUGCUCUCGUGAAACUUACAGUCUGCAGAAGGAAACAGGCAAUAAACAAAUUCUUAAUUAUGUAA